UAGUGGCGAACGGGUGAGUAACACGUGGGCAAUCUGCCCUUCACUCUGGGACAAGCCCUGGAAACGGGGUCUAAUACCGGAUAUGACACGGGAUCGCAUGAUCUCCGUGUGGAAAGCUCCGGCGGUGAAGGAUGAGCCCGCGGCCUAUCAGCUUGUUGGUGGGGUGAUGGCCUACCAAGGCGACGACGGGUAGCCGGCCUGAGAGGGCGACCGGCCACACUGGGACUGAGACACGGCCCAGACUCCUACGGGAGGCAGCAGUGGGGAAUAUUGCACAAUGGGCGAAAGCCUGAUGCAGCGACGCCGCGUGAGGGAUGACGGCCUUCGGGUUGUAAACCUCUUUCAGCAGGGAAGAAGCGAAAGUGACGGUACCUGCAGAAGAAGCGCCGGCUAACUACGUGCCAGCAGCCGCGGUAAUACGUAGGGCGCAAGCGUUGUCCGGAAUUAUUGGGCGUAAAGAGCUCGUAGGCGGCUUGUCACGUCGGAUGUGAAAGCCCGGGGCUUAACCCCGGGUCUGCAUUCGAUACGGGCAGGCUAGAGUUCGGUAGGGGAGAUCGGAAUUCCUGGUGU
rnacentral:rRNA from 1 species